GUCUAUCCAGGGAUAUACCUUUUGUGGGGUUCCCAGUAAUGGGAGUACUUUUGGGGUACUGUAUAUUUUGUAGGGAUUUUUUGUAGUUGAGAGAUAAUUGAAUUGUUUUUCUCACGUAAUUAUCUUUCUGGCACAAAGGAUACUGGGAAUGUAACUCCUGUAUUAUUGUGAUGGAGACCCCAUGUAGGGGUCUGUGCAUAAAAGCCAUAUGUGGCCUGAAAUAAAUCAG